AAUGUAUAUUUUUAUCUACUAAUAUGUUGGGUAGAACAUGGGUAGAUAGUUGGUGUGUAAUAAACAGAUGAGAGGCCUCGUUGUUGUUUGAUUUAGUCAUCUAGCGGAGUUUAGAUGACGACCACGGACUUUUCUAGAUAGUCUUGUGGAAACAUUAGCAGGUUCGCCACCUGUAGGUGUUAAUGAACUUGGGUGUUCAUUCGCUGUACUCCAUCCCCCUCAUGGUUGCCUUAUUUGACUUAUAUUGCUGAGGAACCCCCGAAGCAUGUGUUGUCGCCCCGAUGAAAUAUUCUUAGACUAGGUCCCUUAUGUUAGUUGUCUUAGGGACAUAAAGUGAGAAUAACGGGAAUGGGUAAUUGGGUUAUUGUUGGUUGGUGGAAAUUAAAUAUAAUUAUUUAUUGUGGGUUGAAAACCCUAUAUGCUCACCAGGCUCCCAAGCCUGACCCACUCAGUUUUAUUUGUAUUACAGGAAGUGGCGCAAGGGCAUAAGAUGGAUGAACCAUCAAGUUGUUUUGUUUACAAGUCUGUAUAUGUAUAUAUUUGUUGAAUGACUUGUAAUGUUAUCGUUUAUGCUUAUUGGUCUGUAUCGGAACAUGACACCCCGAGUUUUGAUUAUAUAAUGAAAAUACAUUUCUUUUAUGAAAUGCUUUGGUAAACAUUGUUUUAUCAUGUUUUGUUUUUGGGAACAAAUUCCGCAACUCUUUCAAAUCAAAAGGAUUUACUCUGAAAUUAUUUUAAAAGCAUAAAUGAAAAUCGGUCUUUUCUGGCCGAGAUUUUGGGGAUGUCACAGUUGGUAUCAGAGCAUUAGUUUAAGCGAACUAGGAAUUUGUAGGAUUUCUAGACUUAAACUUAGAAUGCUAAGUGAAAUUUUGAGAUGUGUGUCUGUUAUAUUUUAGACACGAGCACUAGUUUAUUUUAGGAAAGUUGCCUAAAAUGCUUUAUGUGCUAAAUGUUAUAUGUUGCCAUAUAUGAUAUUAUUUGUUCGGAUCUAUGGUCUGUUGCCGACCGGAUCUAGAAACCUUAUGUGUGUAGGAUUCUAAGCGUACGUCUACGAUAUUAGAACUAGCAUGUAAACGUUUCGGAGUGAUAAGGAUGAUUUGAAUAUCUAUCAUGAUUGAGGAUCUAAUUUCACCUUAUUCGGUGUAGAUCAAAAUGGUGAGAACAAGAAGUGGAGUUGGAAAUGCUGACGAAAACAGGAAUCAACCACCAGUGAUUGAGCAAAUACCUGUCGUAGCAGCAGCACCUGAGCCAAUAACCAUGGCUGGUGUGCAAUUGAUGAUUCAGACGAUGUUGGAUCGUCAGAUGGAUGAAACUAGACGGUUGCUUCAACAAAAUCGUGAAGAACUGUCGAUUCGUGUGGAAGAGCCUGAACUGAAUGAAGGGCACUCGGAAGGUGGAAACUUCAGUGGGUCUGUUGGUCCAGCCAACCCACCGAUAGUUAGGCAAGAUAACCAUGAUGGAAGGAAUGAUGGAAUGGGAUGCAAGUACAAGGACUUUUUGACUUGUAAACCAUCGACCUUCAAUGGAAAGGAGGAUCCGAUUGGGGUUAUGGAUUGGAUCUCCGAAAUGGAGCUAGCCUUCAUGACGUGUGGCUGCAGAGGUAAGUUGCAAACUAUCUAUGCCGUGCGUCAAUUCCGAGGUGGAGCUGUUCGUUGGUGGAACACUCUAGGGAAGACCUUAAGCCCUAAUGAGCCACUGCAAUUGUCAUGGGCAGAGUUCUUGGUGCAGUUCAAGCGCAAGUUCUGCUCGGCUCAAAAUCUGUUGGAGUUGGAGAACAAGUUUUUGACAUUGACGAAGGGUAGCAUGUCAGUGGAUGAGUACACCAAUAACUUCACCGAUAAGAUGGAGUUUGCCUUGCGUAUCGUUCCAGACGAGCUGACAAAGGUGGAUCGGUAUGCGAAGGGACUUCCAUGGGAGUACGAGGUGCCGGUACGUCAGGCACUUACUCUAGAGGCAGCUAUCUGGGCUGCCAAGUCUGUGGAGAACAUGAUCAAGGGGAGAACCACCGUCAAGGUUGAGGUUGGUGAGAAAAGGAAGUUUGAAGGAACAUCUGGUUCCAGUAAGAAGAGCAAAUUUUCGAAAUCUGAUUCGAAAAAGUUUGGAGGAAAAGGAGGCGAAGCAAAGUGGUGUGAUAAGUGUAAGAAAAAGCACUUUGGGAAAUGUAGCGAGGAUGUGACCUGCUACAAGUGUGGAAAGGUUGGACAUUUUGCCAAUGAAUGUCCGAACAACAAAAGGAUGUGUUUUGGGUGUAAUGAAGAGGGGCAUAUUUUGAAAGACUGUCCGAAGAAGAAGGAGGCAGCUAGGCCCAACAUUCCACCAAAGCCGAAGGCGAGAGCCUUCCAGAUGACACUUGAGGCUGCGAAAGAUGAAGCUGAUGUCGCUUCAGGUACCUUUCUCGUAAACGAAUUACCUGCUCAUAUAUUGUUUGAUUCUGGAGCCAACUACUCCUUUAUUUCGCAUGAGUUUGGUAGAAAGCUAGCUUUGCCUGUUGAUAGACUAAAUAAUGCUUUAUUAGUCGAAGUAGCUAGUGGCAAGUUUGUACCUGUUAGCCAUCGUAUGAAAAACGUCUUGAUCGACCUUAAUGGGAAUAAGUUUCUCGAGGAAUUAUUGCCUAUCGAACUAAAUGGUUUCGACAUCGUCUUGGGAAUGGAUUGGCUUAGCGCCAAUGAUGCCGAAAUUUUGUGCAAGAAGAAGAUAGUUAAAGUAAACCCGCCUGGGAAAGAUUCGUUUAUGGUGUAUGGGGACAAACGCAGAGUGAAUUCUGGAAUCAUUUCUCUAAUGAAAGCCAGAAAGUGUUUGACCAAGGGAUGUACAUCAUAUUUAGCAUUCGUGAUUGAUGCUAAGAAAGAAAAGAAGGUGAUGCAGAGUAUUCCAGUGGUGUGUGAUUAUCCGGAAGUAUUUCCCGAGGAUCUUCCUGGAUUACCACCUGAUAGACAAGUGGAGUUCAGAAUAGACUUGUUACCAGGAACCACGCCAAUAGCAAAAGCACCUUAUCGAUUAGCACCGACGGAGAUGAAGGAGCUGAUGAUGCAACUUCAGGAGUUAUUGGACAAAGGUUUCAUUAGACCUAGUUCAUCGCCCUGGGGAGCUCCGGUGUUAUUUGUAAAGAAGAAAGAUGGAAGUAUGAGAAUGUGCAUCGAUUACAGAGAGCUGAACAAGGCAACAAUAAAGAAUAGAUAUCCGUUGCCGAGGAUUGAUGACCUGUUUGAUCAAUUGCAAGGUUCGAGCUAUUUCUCGAAGAUCGAUCUUAGGUCAGGAUAUCAUCAGCUGAAAGUAAGAGAGCAAGAUAUCGAGAAGACUGCAUUCAGAACUAGAUAUGGACACUACGAGUUCUUGGUUAUGUCGUUUGGACUAACCAAUGCUCCAGCAGCGUUCAUGGAUUUGAUGAAUAGGGUUUGUAAUCCUUUCCUUGAUAAAUCCGUGAUAGUGUUCAUAGACGACAUUCUGAUCUACUCGAAAAGCCAGGAGGAGCAUGGCAGACACUUGCGAGAAGUGUUAGAAGUUUUGAAGAAGGAGAAGCUUUAUGCGAAGUUCUCCAAAUGUGAUUUUUGGAUUCGUGAGGUCCAAUUCUUGGGUCACGUGGUCAACCAAGAAGGGAUAAUGGUUGAUCCAGCGAAGAUCGAAGCUGUGACGAAGUGGGAACAACCGAAAAGUCCCACGGAGAUUCGAAGCUUUUUAGGAUUAGCCGGAUAUUACCGAAGGUUUAUCCAAGGCUUUUCUUCGAUUGCUACUCCAUUAACAGCUUUGACCCACAAAGGAGCUACUUAUGCUUGGAGUGAGAAGCAUAAAGAAGCAUUCGAGAAGUUAAAGAAGAAGCUAUGCGAGGCACCGAUACUUUCUCUACCCGAUGGAGUUGAAGACUUCGCUGUUUAUAGCGAUGCGUCUGGUGUUGGAUUGGGUUGUGUUUUGACCCAAAGAGAAAAGGUGAUAGCAUAUGCGUCUCGACAGCUGAAAGAGCAUGAAAAGAAUUACCCGACUCAUGAUUUGGAGUUGGCAGCGGUAGUUUUCGCUCUGAAAAUAUGGAGGCAUUACCUCUAUGGCACGAAGUGCAAACUUUUCACUGAUCAUAAGAGUCUCCAAUACCUCUUUAAUCAGAAAGAAUUGAAUAUGAGGCAACGACGCUGGCUAGAAUUACUUAAAGACUACGACUGCGAGAUACUUUACCACCCCGGUAAAGCUAAUGUUGUUGCUGAUGCUCUCAGUCGGAAAGUCAAUCUUGAAAGGAAGAGGCCAAGAGCGUUGAGAAUUGAAGUUGUCUCGACUAUUGUGGAAAGUAUAAAGAAAGCUCAAGAGGAAGCUUCUGAGAAAAAUGACCGAAAGGAGGAACGUUUGGGUAAAACGUUGGUGUUUGGUACUAACGGUCAUGGACUGAAGGUAUUCCAAGAUCGUAUUUGGGUACCUAAGUCAGGAGGAAUUAGGGAUCUUCUGAUGGAAGAAGCUCACAAAACCAUGUACUCAAUUCAUCCGGGUAGCACUAAAAUGUAUAGGGACCUGAAACCCUACUACUGGUGGCCGACGAUGAAGCUUGAUGUUGCAAAGUAUGUGGCCGAGUGUGUGACUUGUGCGAGAGUCAAGACACAACAUCAGAAACCUUACGGGAGUUUAGAACCAUUGCCUGUGCCUAUGGGUAAGUGGGAAGACAUUGCUAUGGAUUUUGUCACUAAACUGCCCAGAACAAAGAAUGGUCACGACAUGAUUUGGGUGGUCGUUGAUCGAUUCACUAAGAGUGCGCAUUUCAUAGCGGCCAGGGAGAAAUGGUCUAUGGAAAAGCUUGCGAAUUCUUACGUGAAGGAAAUUGUGAGGCUUCACGGUGUUCCGUUAACGAUUGUAUCGGAUCGUGAUAGCCGUUUCACCUCAAGGUUUUGGAAAAGUCUACAAGAGGAAAUGGGUACCAAGUUAUGUUUAAGCACAGCUUACCAUCCGCAGACUGAUGGUCAGAGUGAAAGAACAAUACAAACACUUGAAGAUAUGCUGAGAGCAUGUACCUUGGAAUUCCUAGGUAAUUGGGAUGAACAUUUACCGUUGGUAGAAUUUUCCUAUAAUAAUAGUUUUCACUCGAGCAUUAAGAUGGCACCUUAUCAAGCUUUGUAUGGACAGAAGUGUCGUACGCCGUCUUGUUGGCUUGAGGCUGGGGAAAAGCAGUUUAUGGGACCGGAGAUGGUUCAUCAAACUGCUGAAAAGUUGAAAAUAAUUAGGGAAAGAAUGUUAGCAGCUCAAGAUCGUCAAAAGAGCUAUGCUGACAAGAAGCGAAGACCGAUGACUUUUGAGGUUGGAGAUUCGGUUUUGCUUAAAGUCUCGCCGUGGAAGGGACUUAUAAGAUUUGGUAAAAGGGGAAAGUUGAGUCCAAGGUUUAUUGGACCGUUUAAAGUCCUUCAGAGGAUUGGGAAUCAAGCUUACAAGCUCGAAUUACCCGAAGAACUGAAUGGAAUUCACAACACCUUUCAUGUGUGUUAUUUGAGGAAGUUCACGGGAGAAGUUCCCGAUAUAAUUCCAAUUUCUGAAUUGAGAAUUGAUGAGAACAAAAGGUUGAUUGAAGAACCAGAGGCAAUUGUUGACCGAAAGACUAAGAAGUUGCGACGCAAAAUGGUUGGGUUAGUGCUUGUCCGAUGGAAACACACGAAUGGGCCGAAUCUCACCUGGGAGACGGAGAGUGACAUGUUGAGUCGCUAUCCGCAUUUGUUUGUUGAUGUGUGAUUCCGGGGACGGAAUCAUUCUAAGGUGGAGAGAAUUGUAACGCCUGUGUUUCCGGGCUUGCCAUUUUUAGCAAUGUAAUAGUCUAGGUUAACCUUUGUAACCCGUUUUGAAAUAAUAAGAUUGUAUUAUUUGAGUAUUAUGUGUUUUGUGCUUAAUUGCUUAAUUAUGUGGUUUGAUUAAUUAAGAAUAAAAAUAAGCGUCAAAAUUUAAGUGUAAAAUAAACUUAAUAUCUUUGGUUAAUGUUGUAGUAGUUGAAACGAGGUUUCCGAAUAUAUAUAGAACGCCCAAAUCUGACUUCGUAUGAGGAAGUUAUGAUUUAUCGAAGUUCCGGCUUAGCGAUAUACAGCCUGUUUUACUCGAUUUGAGAUCGAGCGGUUGUUAGCCGAAGCAAUCUAAAUGAGAAUCGAAGAUCUCAUUGUUGGUAUUGAAACGAUAAAAAGUUAGGCGAGAACGGACGUCAAACGAAGAAGUUAUGAAUUUAUAACGAAAGUUUCUGUCCCGGCCUAUUAAAAAUAAUUAAUAAAAAUAAAGUCAAAAUUAGCCGACGGAGUCUAAACGAAAGUCGUAGAGCGUGGUCUCACCUUCGCGUGGAUAUAAAGAACGUCGAAAACGGAGUUCGUAUGAAGAAGUUAUGAAUUUCCGAAGUUUAUUAAUCAUUUUGUAUUUAUUUUUAAUUCAAAAUUCGGAAGCAUUAUCCGAAGGAGUCACCGAUCUGAUCCGAGGUACGCCCCGCGUACUCGAGUACGCCCCGCGUACUCCGAGGGAUGUCGACACUCGCACUCGAGCACUUCGGAUACGUAAGCAAUGACGUUUUGGGCAGUACGCCCCGCGUAACGCAGUACGCCCCGCGUACUCCGAGGCUCCAGCCUCCUAUAAAUAGGAUGCGAGGGUUCCGGGUAUUUUUGCCAAUUCCCUCUCGUUUUCGUGUCGAAGCUCUGUGCAAAAACCCCCGAAGCUACCCCGAAGUCCCGGUAUCAUACUCUAGCCCCGAGGCAAGUCCCGAGAUCCUGAAGAUCCCGAAAAGUGCGGUUCCCGAGUCGAAGCUCUGCCCGCGAGAAGUUCGAUUUUCGAGAAGAUCUUCCAGAUCUGCUGUGGAUUACUACUUCUAUAAGCCGUAGUGCUGUCCGAUCAUCUUCUGAUCAAGUGAGUGUGUAGUUAUUUCUUCUAAUACAAUAAUACGAAGUAUUUUAUAUAAAAAUACGUGCUAUGUGUAUAUAUUUGGUUGUGUUAUGUGUGAAUGAGUAUUCACUCUCUUCUAUCUUAUAGAUCUGCUUAUUUCUUUAUGAGAUAUGUGUUAUGUGUGUGUGUGCCUCAUCUGUUAUGUGAUAUAUGUGUUGAUUAAAGCAUGCUAUACAGGUUUUCUUUAAACUAUGUAUACAAAUGUAUAUUUUUAUCUACUAAUAUGUUGGGUAGAACAUGGGUAGAUAGUUGGUGUGUAAUAAACAGAUGAGAGGCCUCGUUGUUGUUUGAUUUAGUCAUCUAGCGGAGUUUAGAUGACGACCACAGACUUUUCUAGAUAGUCUUGUGGAAACAUUAGCAGGUUCGCCACCUGUAGGUGUUAAUGAACUCGGGUGUUCAUUCGCUGUACUCCAUCCCCCUCAU
rnacentral:lncRNA from 1 species